CAGAUAAACUCUCAUUUUCUUUUCUUCUUUCUCUUUCUUCUUCUUCUUCUGUUCGUGCGUCAGGCGAUUCUGUGGGAAGUUUUGAGAUGGUGAGAUCAGAAAUUAGAGGAAACAUUAAAAGUUGAGUGUUGGUGAUACUAUUCAUGUUGAUUGGUUAUGAGAAGAAGAGGAGAUGACGAUCUGUAUAGAAACCAGAUAGUUAGGAUUUGAGUUUGGGUUCAAGACAUAGAAUAAUUGAGUAAUUAACGAUGGUUCUGAGUGAUUGGUGAUGAAGAAGAAUAAGGGUUGGUGUUAAUUGAAGAGAUGAAGCAGUUCUGCUGAAGAAUCAAUAAAAGGUAAUUAGGGUUUCUCAGAAGAUUGUUUAGGAAUUUGGGUUUAUGAUGAACUGAUGAAUUGGGAAUUGAAGAUUGAGAAGUAAGAUUAGAGAUGGGUUUUAUCUGAAUUGGAGAUUGAGGUUGAAUAUUAGCUUGAAACUGGCAGUUAAGGUUUGGAUCUCUUUUAUGGAAGAUUUGGGAUUUGAAUUGGAUUAAUUGAGAACCGAUGGUGAUGAUGGGUGCGUUUUGAUGUUGAAUUAACUGAAUUGAAGAGUUGUAGUUGUUCUUGAGAUGAAUUGCAAAAUCAAGACUAGUUUAAGAUGAAGAACCUGAUUUCAGUUGCUUGUGAAUAAUCAUUUAGAGGUAAUUGUUCUUUUCAGCUAACUUUGUAAUGUUAUCUACUUUCAUUAAUGAAGUUUUGAGUUAUGAGUUGUUAUUGGAGAUGUAAUGAAAUUGAGGUUGAGAUACUUAUAGAAUGAAACUGUGAGUAUGAUGAGAAGAUGUAGUAAUCUGAAGUAGAGAUUAUGUUUGCGUUGCUGGUGUUAUUGCACAUAUGUGGAAGUGUUAGUGUUAGUAUACACAAGUGCAGGGAUAGCUGGAAGUUUAUUGUGCAUGUGAAAUGGAAAUGGAAUUGAGUUUGUUACAGGGGUGUGUUGGUUGUUGCUGAGUUGUAGAUAUAUGAAUCAGUUAUGAGAUGAAUGUGUAAUGGAAUUGAGUAACUGUGGUGUUGUGAAGUGAACGGAAUUAGAACUUCUUAGUGUUGCAGAGUUAUAAUAGUAUGUUGAAGUUGCAGGGGAUAUGAGUGAUCUGCUGAAGUUGUGGAGUACAACUUGUGGUUCUAGUGAUGCUGCACAGUUGGUGGUGUUGGAGUGAUCUGGUUUGAGAUAGAUCAUAGGUUGGUUCAAUUGUGGAGUUUGAAGGUGAAUUUUGGAGAAUGAAUUGUGCAGGUGAGAUAUAAAUGAUAGUGGUUUGAAGUUCUGGUAGAAUUAGGUUGAGAUGGUGUUAUGUAGUCGUAGGGAAGUUCUUGUUUUCCAAGACUGGAAGGUGUGUUGAACUGCAAGAGGUAAUGGAUAUGCAGUGUUGUUUGCUGUCGCAACUGAAGUGUAGACUAGAAGUUAGUAGUGUUAUAGUUAUUGGAACUUGAGUGUACUUGGGGGAUGUUUGAGAAGAAGUUGAUUGAAAUGUUGUUAGCAGUGGCCUUAGUGAAAAGCUUAAAGCUGCAAUUGCUGUUAGUCCAUAUUAACAACGGUCGAUCCAAAGGAUGAACCAGUGGAUUGUGGAUCUCGAGGUAGGCGUGGCUUGUCAUUAAAAGAGAGACGGAUCAGAGUUGCGCAGCGGAA